GGGGCCAUCGUCUAGCUUGGAAGGAUACCAACUCGGCUGAUUUGAAUUUAUUUCGUCGGGGUAUUGGCCCGGGGCGCUGGCGGUCGUGGGUUCAAAUCCCACUGGCCCCA
rnacentral:tRNA from 2 species